UUCGGAGAGUAGGUUUAGAAAAAACACAACCGGUUGAUGGAGCAUAUAUGUACAUAGUAGUGUGGUGAUGAGGGGACUCAGUGGAGCCGGGGACUGACAUAUAUAUAGUAGAUUGUAGUAGUAGAUUUCAAGACCGUUUCCCAUUCCUUCUCUAGCUAGAGUGCUCUUAUGCUUUCAUAUAUGAGUUUGUUGAGCUAGGAAUAAGCUUAUUAAGUAGGAGCUGGAGGCAUCGGGAGGAAAGACAAAUUUGUGCAAAUUUUUCUGCUAAUGGUAGUAGCAAGGUUGAUGUCAUUAUGAGCUGGUGCAUUUGGAUGGUAAGAAAUGACUUGAUCUUCAAGGCUAUUGAUCUCUCUUCUCAAGAAACAAAUUUUCGCUUCAGGCAUUUGUUUAGUUUGCUUUUGCACCGUGUGAAAGAAGCUUGGAAGCAACCUAUGUCUGAAUGGCUAGAGCACACAUUGUAAUUUCCUUGAUUUAUUUUGUCUCUUUCUUUGUUUCAUAGGUUGUAGCUUUUUAUACUGUCCUCUUGCCUUUUUACAAUUAAUAUAUAAUCAGCAGGGGUUUCUCUUCUGUUUCCUCAAAAAAGGUUGAUGUCAUUAUGUCCCAUGACACCUGACAAGAGGGAAGGGUGUAUCAAGACUCGAGGGAGGACAUGGAGUGUAGUUAGUGGACGAUUUAUUGAUGUCAUCUGGAGGAUUUAACAAAGAUGCUGGUUUCAUAUCACAAGAUGGACUCGAAAGCUGUUGGUCAUGUACGUGCUUCAAUUGGGCAGAAAUCGUGUCUACACAUAAGAAUGAGAUGCUGAUUCUUCUGUAGUUAUGCAAGUGCGUCCCUUAUUCAUUUUAGUAUAGAGCAAUUCAUCCAGUACAGUUGUGCAUG
rnacentral:lncRNA from 1 species